rnacentral:rRNA from 1 species
UGGGGAAUAUUGCACAAUGGAGGGAACUCUGAUGCAGCGACGCCGCGUGAGUGAUGAAGGAAUUCGUUUCGUAAAACUCUGUUCUAUGGGAAGAAAAGGACUGUACCAUAGGAGAAAGCUCCGGCUAAAUGCGUGCCAGCAGCCGCGGUAAUACGUAUGGAGCGAGCGUUGUCCGGAAUUAUUGGGCGUAAAGGGUGCGCAGGCGGCUUUACAAGUUGGAUGUGAAAUAUUGUGGCUCAACCACAAACGUGCAUCCAAAACUGCAAAGCUUGAGUUAAGGAGAGGUAAGUGGAAUUCCUGGUGUAGCGGUGGAAUGCGUAGAUAUCAGGAGGAAUACCGGUGGCGAAGGCGACUUACUGGACUUAAACUGACGCUCAGGCACGAAAGCGUGGGGAGCAAACAGG